rnacentral:rRNA from 1 species
UACAGAGGGUGCGAGCGUUGUCCGGAAUCACUGGGCGUAAAGGGCGCGUAGGCGGCUUCUCAAGCGUGCCGGUGAAAGCUCGGGGCUUAACUCCGAGUCUGCCGUGCGAACUGGGAGGCUUGAGUCUGGUAGAGGUCGAUGGAAUUCCGGGUGUAGCGGUGGAAUGCGUAGAGAUCCGGAAGAACACCGGUGGCGAAGGCGGUCGACUGGGCCAGUACUGACGCUGGAGGCGCGACAGCGUGGGGAGCAAACAGG